rnacentral:rRNA from 1 species
AAUAGGGAGGUGAUUGUGAGAAAAUUUUAUUAAAGUAAAUGAUUGUUUGGUGUUAUUUGUGUAGUAGUUAGGGUAUGUUUGAAAAAUCUGAUAAUUUUGCUGCUAAAGUAAAUUGUAAUGAAGUGUUUAAGAAAACUAAAGUGUAUAAGUACUGUGAAGGAAGCUAUAUAAACUUGUUAAAAGAAGAUUUAAAUUUUCGUACCUUUUGUAUCAGGGAUUUUUUAUUUGUUUUAAGAAGGUUUAAAAUUCCCGAAAUAUGGUGAUCUAAUUUAGUAAAAAUGUUUAUGUGUAAAAAUGAAAUUAAAUAUUAGGUUAGUGGUGAUAUGCCAGUCGGACUUUAUAUAUCUGGUUACUUUUGAAAUAAAUUUAAUUUAAUUUUUACAGUUAUUAGCUAUAAAAUUAAAUUUUUAGGGGGAAAAGCUCCUAAAAUUGGUUUGUAAAAGAUGAUGGAGGCAGAUGCAAAAUUAGGCUUAGAAUCAGUCAUGCUGUCAUAGCGUUUUAGAUGGUGCAAGGAUAAAAUGUGUUUUUUUUGGGUUUACUUGUAAUUAGGAAGUUGUUGUUAUAAACAGAGUUAUAUAAGAUAUAUUGAUUGUAUUAGUAGAAUAAAUUUAUGUUAGUUUAUUAUUAUAAAGGUAAAGGGAAUAUUUUAAUUGGAUUUUGGGGUGUUUAAGGAACUCGACAAAUAUUGUGUUCACCUGUUUAUCAAAAACAUGUCUAUUUGGAUUAAUUUUUUAGUCUGACCUGCCCACUGAAGUUGUUAAAGGGCCGCGGUAUUUGGACCGUGCUAAGGUAGCAUAAUCAAUAGUCUCUUAAUUAGAGUCUGGAAUGAAUGGUUGGAUGAAAUACAAUUUGUCUUCGAAUAUAAUGUUGAAUUUUACUUUUAAGUGUAAAGGCUUAAAUUGAGUAAAGGGACGAUAAGACCCUGUGAAGCUUUACUUUUGUUGAGUGUUGAUGUUUAAUAAUUAUGUGCUUAGGCUUAUAGUUAAUGAAAGUUGGGUUGGGGCGACUGGAAUAUAAUUUUAACUGUUUUGGUUAGUGGAAUAAGUGAUUUUUAGUUGGUUGAUCUUAUAAUAUAGAUUAAAAAAUUUAAGUUACUCCAGGGAUAACAGCGUAAUUCUUUUUGAGAGUUCUUAUCGACAAAAGUAUUUGCGACCUCGAUGUUGAAUUAAGAUUUCGUCAAGGUGUAGAAGCUUUGAUUGUGGGUCUGUUCGACCUUUAAAAUCUUACAUGAUUUGAGUUCAGACCGGCGUGAGCCAGGUUAGUUUCUAUCUUUUGCUUUAUGAAAACCAUUUUAGUACGAAAGGAGUGAGUGGUUAAAAUAUUUUUGGUGGUAUGAUUUACUUUAAUUACUUU